AAUAUAACUUGAUCUCAUGUGUAUGAUUGAGUAUGAGAACUAGAACCGCAACAAGAUCUUAAAAGCCUAAGUAGUGUUUUCUUGUU
rnacentral:sRNA from 1 species